UUGCCCCACGACUACGCUAUCACUCCUACGGGGAGGCAGCAGUAGGGAAUCUUCCACAAUGGGCGCAAGCCUGAUGGAGCAACACCGCGUGAGUGAAGAAGGGUUUCGGCUCGUAAAGCUCUGUUGUUAAAGAAGAACACGUAUGAGAGUAACUGUUCAUACGUUGACGGUAUUUAACCAGAAAGUCACGGCUAACUACGUGCCAGCAGCCGCGGUAAUACGUAGGUGGCAAGCGUUAUCCGGAUUUAUUGGGCGUAAAGAGAGUGCAGGCGGUUUUCUAAGUCUGAUGUGAAAGCCUUCGGCUUAACCGGAGAAGUGCAUCGGAAACUGGAUAACUUGAGUGCAGAAGAGGGUAGUGGAACUCCAUGUGUAGCGGUGGAAUGCGUAGAUAUAUGGAAGAACACCAGUGGCGAAGGCGGCUACCUGGUCUGCAACUGACGCUGAGACUCGAAAGCAUGGGUAGCGAACAGGAUUAGAUACCCUGGUAG
rnacentral:rRNA from 1 species